UUCCUCCCACACUUACGCUAAUAACGGGGGAGGAGAGGCGGGGGUUGGGGGGGGGGGGGGGGGGGGUCAAUUCCCCCGGGGCCCUCGGAGGCACACAGAUGAGCCACAUGACCGCGUGUCACCCCCCCGUGACUGCGGCGCUAGCUGCUAGCCGCUAGCCGCUAGCUAGCCGGCGAGGAGCUCCCUCCGGUGUGCGGCGGCGGCGACGGAGGCAGCGAGCCGGAGCCGGUGGUGGGGUGAAUUCACAAAGAAACCCAUGGCUUCUGCCUCGGCCCUCUGCAACGCUUUGUCUUAAAAAUUGCCUUUGAUUGUGAGCAAAGAGCAAAGUCAAAGAGGCAUUUUAUUUCCAUUCUGGUGUAUUUCAACUACAACCCAUCUUUAGCUGUUGGCAAACGACACAGCUUCACAUCAUCCAUCACUGAAGCUGAAGUAUCGUGGCAGGGGCGCAGGUGAGCGCCGCGUCACGGUUGAUGCUACACCACGCCACCACCGGACAGGGGCGAGGAGGGAGCAACAGAAAGUGCUGAACAUAUAAUUAGCUAAUCCAGCAGAAAGCACAGAUAGGC